UCAACUUCUAACCACAUCCUGGUCGAGUGA
rnacentral:sRNA from 1 species